rnacentral:rRNA from 1 species
GAUGAACGCUGGCGGCGUGCCUAAUACAUGCAAGUCGAGCGAACAGAUGGGGAGCUUGCUCCUCUGACGUUAGCGGCGGACGGGUGAGUAACACGUGGAUAACCUACCUAUAAGACUGGGAUAACUUCGGGAAACCGGAGCUAAUACCGGAUAAUAUAUUGAACCGCAUGGUUCAAUAGUGAAAGACGGUUUUGCUGUCACUUAUAGAUGGAUCCGCGCCGCAUUAGCUAGUUGGUAAGGUAACGGCUUACCAAGGCAACGAUGCGUAGCCGACCUGAGAGGGUGAUCGGCCACACUGGAACUGAGACACGGUCCAGACUCCUACGGGAGGCAGCAGUAGGGAAUCUUCCGCAAUGGGCGAAAGCCUGACGGAGCAACGCCGCGUGAGUGAUGAAGGUCUUCGGAUCGUAAAACUCUGUUAUUAGGGAGGAACAAAUGUGUAAGUAACUAUGCACGUCUUGACGGUACCUAAUCAGAAAGCCACGGCUAACUACGUG